rnacentral:rRNA from 1 species
UACGUAGGGGUGCAACGUUAAUCGGAAUUACUGGGCGUAAAGCGUGCGCAGGCGGUUAUGUAAGACAGAUGUGAAAAUCCCCGGGCUCAACCCUGGGAACUGCAUUUGUGACUGCAUAGCUAGAGUACGGUAGAGGGGGAUGGAAUUCCGCGUGUAGCAGUGAAAUGCGUAGAUAUGCGGAGGAACACCGAUGGCGAAGGCAAUCCCCUGGACCUGUACUGACGCUCAUGCACCGAAAGCGUGGGGAGCAAACA